rnacentral:rRNA from 1 species
UACGUAGGGCGCAAGCGUUGUCCGGAAUUAUUGGGCGUAAAGAGCUCGUAGGCGGUCUGUCGCGUCGGCCGUGAAAACCUGCAGCUUAACUGUGGGCUUGCGGUCGAUACGGGCAUCACUGGAGUUCGGCAGGGGAGACUGGAAUUCCUGGUGUAGCGGUGAAAUGCGCAGAUAUCAGGAGGAACACCCGUGGCGAAGGCGGGUCUCUGGGCCGAUACUGACGCUGAGAAGCGAAAGCGUGGGGAGCGAACAGG